AGAGCGAACGCUGGCGGCAGGCCUAACACAUGCAAGUCGAGCGCGUGUAGCAAUACACGAGCGGCAGACGGGAGAGUAACACGUGGGAACGCGCCCUUCGGUUCGGAAUAACUCAGGGAAACUUGAGCUAAUACCGGAUACGCCCUUACGGGGAAAGAUUUAUUGCCGAAGGAACGGCCCGCGUCCGAUUAGCUAGUUGGUGAGGUAACGGCCUACCAAGGCGACGACGGGUAGCC
rnacentral:rRNA from 1 species